rnacentral:rRNA from 1 species
UACGUAGGGUGCGAGCGUUGUCCGGAAUUAUUGGGCGUAAAGGGCUCGUAGGCGGUUUGUCGCGUCGGGAGUGAAAACCAUGGGCUUAACUCAUGGCUUGCUUUCGAUACGGGCAGACUAGAGUACUGCAGGGGAGACUGGAAUUCCUGGUGUAGCGGUGGAAUGCGCAGAUAUCAGGAGGAACACCAGUGGCGAAGGCGGGUCUCUGGGCAGUAACUGACGCUGAGGAGCGAAAGCGUGGGGAGCGAACAGG